AAUACCCAGUGUCCACUAAUUUAUAACAAAAGAGGUAAAUGGAUGUGUGUUCAAAGGUGGUUGAGAGGCAAGAAAUGAAAAGGCUUAGUUGGAUGUGGGACCUUAUGAGUUUGCAAACCAAUUUACCUCAAACACAGCUUGUCACAACCAUCAUGAAUAGCUUUGGACCACAGCAUCACUAACGCAAAAUACAUUUAUUUACAUCUAUACCCUGUACCUUCCAAUUCUUAAUUCAAGACAACCACACCGAAUCCAAUUGUUUAAUUUGUUGGGGGCACCUGAUGAACUGUAGUUACAAGUGCAUUUCACAAUGGCGCGUUUAAGUGUAUUCAUGCAUUAUUUCUUAUCCAUGGGAGGGAAAUUAAGCCACAAUAGUUAAAUAAAUCUAUCAAGA
rnacentral:lncRNA from 1 species